GAUCCUGGCUCAGAACGAACGCUGGCGGCAGGCUUAACACAUGCAAGUCGAACGCCCCGCAAGGGGAGUGGCAGACGGGUGAGUAACGCGUGGGAACAUACCCUUUCCUGCGGAAUAGCUCCGGGAAACUGGAAUUAAUACCGCAUACGCCCUACGGGGGAAAGAUUUAUCGGGGAAGGAUUGGCCCGCGUUGGAUUAGCUAGUUGGUGGGGUAAAGGCCUACCAAGGCGACGAUCCAUAGCUGGUCUGAGAGGAUGAUCAGCCACAUUGGGACUGAGACACGGCCCAAACUCCUACGGGAGGCAGCAGUGGGGAAUAUUGGACAAUGGGCGCAAGCCUGAUCCAGCCAUGCCGCGUGAGUGAUGAAGGCCUUAGGGUUGUAAAGCUCUUUCACCGAUAAGAUAAGACGGUAUCGGAGAAGAGCC
rnacentral:rRNA from 1 species